UCGUAGGGUGCAGCGUUGUCCGGAAUUAUUGGGCGUAAAGAGCUUGUAGGCGGUUUGUCGCGUCUGCUGUGAAAUCUCAAGGCUCAACCUUGAGCUUGCAGUGGGUACGGGCAGACUAGAGUGUGGUAGGGGAGACUGGAAUUCCCUGGUGUAGCGGUGAAAUGCGCAGAUAUCCAGGAGGAACACCGAUGGCGAAGGCAG
rnacentral:rRNA from 1 species